UCGCUCUACAAGAGAUUCACACAGAAUUCCCCUUGCACAAGAAGUAGGAUCCCAAUCCUCUUCUUCUCUAGAACCCUAGCCGCACAAAACAAGAGUCUCUCUCAAAAUAUCCUUGAAUAUCUCUACUCCUAGGGCUCUCAUGAGUCCUAUAUAUAGUCUCAAGACCUUCAGAUGAUCAUAGCCGUCGAAACGCUACCAAAAAACACCAAAAGAAAAUCGUCCGUAC
rnacentral:lncRNA from 1 species